rnacentral:rRNA from 1 species
GAUGAACGCUGACAGAAUGCUUAACACAUGCAAGUCAACUUGAACUUCGGUUUGGGUGGCGGACGGGUGAGUAACGCGUAAAGAACUUGCCUCACAGAUAGGGACAACAUUUGGAAACGAAUGCUAAUACCUAAUAUUAUGAUUUUAGGGCAUCCUAGGAUUAUGAAAGCUAUAUACGCUGUGAGAGAGCUUUGCGUCCCAUUAGCUAGUUGGAGAGGUAACGGCUCACCAAGGCGAUGAUGGGUAGCCGGCCUGAGAGGGUGAUCGGCCACAAGGGGACUGAGACACGGCCCUUACUCCUACGGGAGGCAGCAGUGGGGAAUAUUGGACAAUGGACCAAGAGUCUGAUCCAGCAAUUCUGUGUGCACGAUGAAGUUUUUCGGAAUGUAAAGUGCUUUCAGUUGGGAAGAAAAAAAUGACGGUACCAACAGAAGAAGUGACGGCUAAAUACGUGCCAGCAGCCGCGGUAAUACGUAUGUCACAAGCGUUAUCCGGAUUUAUUGGGCGUAAAGCGCGUCUAGGUGGUUAUGUAAGUCUGAUGUGAAAAUGCAGGGCUCAACUCUGUAUUGCGUUGGAAACUGUGUAACUAGAGUACUGGAGAGGUAAGCGGAACUACAAGUGUAGAGGUGAAAUUCGUAGAUAUUUGUAGGAAUGCCGAUGGGGAAGCCAGCUUACUGGACAGAUACUGACGCUGAAGCGCGAAAGCGUGGGUAGCAAACAGG